rnacentral:rRNA from 1 species
GACGAACGCUGGCGGCGUGCUUAACACAUGCAAGUCGAACGGUAAGGCCCUUCGGGGUACACGAGUGGCGAACGGGUGAGUAACACGUGGGUGAUCUGCCCUGCACUUCGGGAUAAGCCUGGGAAACUGGGUCUAAUACCGGAUAGGACCCUGGGAUGCAUGUCCUGGGGUGGAAAGCUUUUGCGGUGUGGGAUGGGCCCGCGGCCUAUCAGCUUGUUGGUGGGGUGAUGGCCUACCAAGGCGACGACGGGUAGCCGGCCUGAGAGGGUGACCGGCCACACUGGGACUGAGAUACGGCCCAGACUGCUACGGGAGGCAGCAGUGGGGAAUAUUGCACAAUGGGCGCAAGCCUGAUGCAGCGACGCCGCGUGAGGGAUGACGGCCUUCGGGUUGUAAACCUCUUUCAGCACCGACGAAGCGCAAGUGACGGUAGGUGCAGAAGAAGGACCGGCCAACUACGUGUCAGCCGCCGCGGUAA